rnacentral:rRNA from 1 species
UACGGGGGGGGCAAGCGUUGUUCGGAAUUACUGGGCGUAAAGGGCGCGUAGGCGGCCUGCUAAGUCGGAUGUGAAAUCCCUCGGCUCAACCGAGGAACUGCAUCCGAUACUGGCGGGCUUGAAUCCGGGAGAGGGAUGUGGAAUUCCAGGUGUAGCGGUGAAAUGCGUAGAUAUCUGGAGGAACACCGGUGGCGAAGGCGGAUCUCUGGGCCAUAACUGACGCUGAGGAGCGAAAGCUAGGGUAGCAAACGGG